GUGCAUUGCGCUUCGGUCCGGGUGGCACCGGUUGUAAAGGAACCGGUGCCACAUUGGCAACGGAUUUCGGUACCCAACCCUAGUUCUGGCUAUUCUCAGGCUGGAGGGGCCAUACAGGUUCCACACCCGGCAGACGACUCUUGGGGGGACCCUGCUUCCCUAAUCUGUGUGGGCUAUGAAGUCAGUCCGAGCGAGGGCUGCUGGCAGAGAAGAGGCAGGGAGUGGUCGGUGAGAGAAAUGCAGGUCCGACAGCUGACAACAGAUGGUUCUGAAUACUGGAUGGAGUGGCAGUGCUGCUGCGUAAUGGAGGACGAGGUUAGAUCAGGAGUCCUUUUGACUUCACGUCUUAUAGGGUCCAUUGGACCUGGCUGGGUCUGAUACCAUGGCCCUGCUGAUAUGCCCCGCCCACUCCUCCUCUCUCCCUCCAUCUGCCUGAUGGAUCAUGGAGGUCUGGAUUGUGGUCCAUGCCUAGUACCAACUAUUCAUACACUCUAGCAUACUCAUUGAAUGUGUUGUAACUCUGUAAUGAUUCCUUCUGUACACAUGACAUCUAAUGCUUCUGUCCAUCCGGGGAGAGGGAUCCUCCUUGUUGCUCUCCUGAAGGUUUCUUCCCUUUUUUCCCCUGUGAAAGUUGUUUUUCUAUUUCUUGGGAGUUUUUCCUGAUCCGAUGUGAGGUCCUGGGACAGCGAUGUUGUAUGUGUACAGAUCGUAAAGCCCUCUCAGGCAAAUUUGUAAUUUGUGAUGUUGGGCUGUAUCAAAUAAACUGAAUUGAAUUGAAUGCAAAUAAAGCGGAUAUCCGCCGAGCAGCACAAACAACACGGCGUGAAAAAUGUGCAACAACUACGCCCAACGCUGUGUUGCGAAAGCCAAAUUAGUGUUGAGAUGAUGUUUGAAAUUGAAUAUCAAAUCCAGGUUUAAUAAGAAGCAUGAGUUAAACAACUGUAUUAGGUUGCAGAAUGUAACCGGUCUAAUUGGGAAGACAACUGCUGUGAUGGGAGCUCGACACGGCACAGGUAUUCAUGUGCAAUGAACAUAGGAGAUUUCCUUUCUCUGGCUUCUGGUAUAAGCAUGGUUAUGAGGCAUGGUGAGCACAAUAUACAUGACCGUUCAAAAGUUUGGGGUCAUCCAGACAAUUUCGUGUCUUCCAUGAAAACUCACUUUUAUUUAUCAAAUGAAUUGAAAAUUGAAUAGAAAAUAUAGUCAAGACAUUGACAAGGUUAGAAAUAAUGAUUAAUAUUUGAAGUAUUAAUUUUGUUCUUCAAACUUCAAGCUCAAAGGAAGGCCAGUUGUAUAGCUUAUAUCACCAGCAUAACUGUUUUCAGCUGUGCUAACAUAAUUGCACAAGGGUUUUCUAAUCAGAUAUUAGUCUUCUAAGGCGAUUAGCAAACACAAUGUACC